GACGAACGUUGGCGGCGUGCUUAAUACAUGCAAGUCAACUGAAGCAGUGGUAGCAAUAUCGCUGUGGAGGUGGCGCACGGGGGAGUAACACGUAGGUAAUCUGCCUUCAGGUCUGGCAUAACUCCGGGAAACCGGGGCUAAUAGCAGAUGAUGCAGCGGCUCGACAUCGAGACAGUUGUUAAAGCUAUGGCGCCUGAAGAUGAGCCUGCGUCUGAUUAGCUAGUUGGCGGGGUAACGGCCCACCAAGGCAACGAUCAGUAGCUGGUCUGAGAGGAUGAUCAGCCACACUGGAACUGCGACACGGUCCAGACUCCUACGGGAGGCAGCAGUAAGGAAUAUUGCUCAAUGGGAGAAAUCCUGAAGCAGCAACGCGGCGUGAGGGACGAAGGGCUUUUGCUUGUAAACCUCUGUAGUGAGAGAAAAAAAUCCCAAUCUUUGGGACAUGAUGGUAUCUCAAAAGUAAGCCCCGGCUAACUACGUA
rnacentral:rRNA from 1 species